AAGUCGUAACAAGGUUUCCGUAGGUGAACCUGCGGAAGGAUCAUUACCAAUGGUUUCCAACCAUCCUAUUAGAUGUGCAUCACCCUGCUGCGUGGCACGAGGUUCAAGAGGGUGUGCGAGGCGAUGGAAGCGGAGAGGUUGCUGCUGUUCAGCAGUGUGCAACUUUCAUUUGCAACAUUAGUUCGCACGGUCUCUUCGGCCGACUGCCAUGCGACUAUUACCAUACCAAUUCACAACUAUAGUGUCGUUGAGGUACGCCACGGCGUGCCAGCCUCAGGGUAAUCUGAAACUUUUAGCAACGGAUCUCUAGGCUCUU
rnacentral:misc_RNA from 1 species